rnacentral:rRNA from 1 species
CCUACGGGUGGCUGCAGUGAGGAAUAUUGGUCAAUGGACGAGAGUCUGACCCAGCAACGCCGCGUGAAGGAAGAAGGCUUUCGGGUUGUAAACUUCUUUUAAUAGGGAAGAGCAGAAGACGGUACCUCUUGAAUAAGCCACGGCUAACUACUUGCCAGCAGCCGCGGUAAUACGUAGGUGGCAAGCGUUGUCCGGAUUUACGGGGUGUAAAGGGCGUGUAGCCGGGCUGACAAGGCAGAUGUGAAAUCCCGUGGCUCAACCACGGAACUGCAUUUGAAACUGUCGGUCUUGAGUAUCGGAGAGGCAGGCGGAAUUCGUGGUGUAGCGGUGAAAUGCGUAGAUAUUAGGAGGAACACCAGUGGCGAAGGCGGCCUGCUGGACGACAACUGACGGUGAGGCGCGAAAGCGUGGGGAGCAAACAGGAUUAGAUACCCGUGUAGUC